CCCUGCCCUUCCCUUCCUGCCCCUUGUUCUCCUGCCCCCCUCGUUUCAUGCUCCCCAUCAAGGGUACUCAAGUAAAGCGUGAUCUGAGUGGAAUCCUGAUAUGGUGGCUGUUCUUUCUCGCCAGUCGAGAGGUCCGCCACAAGCGGACGUGGCUGUACACGCAUGUGCCUCGUUGUCCGUGUAGAGCUCAGAGGACACCGUGGGUUCUGGGGAUCCAGCUGAUAUCAUCAGACUUGAUGGAAGCACUUUCACCCACUGAGCCAUCUUGUCAACCCUCCUCUGUUCCCUCUGCCUCACUCAAAGACUUUCAACUUGGAGAGCCGACCUCAAUAUAGAACCUGUCCAGAAGCUUCCAGAAAGCCCAACCACAGAUCACUGGAGCUUCUGUUCUUGAUGGGGAUUCGUGUGACUGGUGUGGGUCUUAAUGACACUGGGAAUUGUGUCUAAUUGGGAAUGUCGCUUUCCUAGGACACCUAACCCAGAGCAGACAAUGCCCUGCCCAGACAACGCUUCACAUAAAUGCUUCAAUAGACUUUGUAGAACAAGCAAAAUAUAUUAAAAUCAUCUGCACAGCUA